rnacentral:rRNA from 1 species
UACGGGGGGGGGCAAGCGUUGUUCGGAAUUACUGGGCGUAAAGGGCUCGUAGGUGGCCAACUAAGUCAGACGUGAAAUCCCUCGGCUUAACCGGGGAACUGCGUCUGAUACUGGUUGGCUUGAGAUUGGGAGAGGGACGCGGAAUUCCAGGUGUAGCGGUGAAAUGCGUAGAGAUGUGGAGGAACACCAGUGGCGAAGGCGGCUUUCUGGUCUGUAACUGACGCUGAGGCGCGAAAGCGUGGGGAGCAAACAGGG